AUCUUUUUUUUCUCUCUCUCUAAUUUUCCCAGGAGGAGCUCUCAGCAUUGGCGUAUUGAGGCGCCUCUAUAGCUGGUUAAGUCUGGGACGCGAUAACUCAGUGCCGUUUUGCAGACGUGCAUAGAAGCAAUUACUGGGUUAUCGCAGAGAGGAAAAGAGACAGAGACGUUAGGACGAAGAGUCGUCCCCAGUGUUUCUGCCUGAGAAAAAGCCGCAUUCUGCAAAUCCUUCUGUAGCUGGGUCUGGGGAUGCAGCUAGUCCCAGCGUGGCCCGGCGGGGGCGGGUGGACAGAGCUUCUAAGCAGCCCCAUGGCGGAUGCGCAUAAGUCUUUGCGCGCAGCUGGAAAUGCACUGGGUUCAGGGGCGAAACGUACCCCAUAGACGGCCCCGGCGGCGCCGAGAGGAGAGGUAGGCCUACCAGACUUGGAGCGAUCGAGCGUCCGACCUUCCGGAAAGGGACUUUAGUAUCAUCCUUCCCAAUGUCUUCUUCGGUUCUCAGUUUCCUGCCUUUUGACCAGAAGAAUUCACGAAUACUGGCGGUUAUUAUUAUUUCAGAAUAUCCAGUAUUCUCCAAUAUUUCCACCAAGAAUUAGCACUGCUACUUACUUUACCAAUUAGGCAUGUUGAUGUUGUUUCUUGUGCUUUGGAAGUGUCCGUCCCCACUCCCUCAAAUUUGGGGGAUGAGACUCCUCCCCACGACGACCACCACCCGCCAACAGGUUAAUGAAAUAAGAAAUGGCUGUGGGAACAUUGUUCUAGAGACUCAGCAGAGCUAUCAGUGCUGGAGAUUCUCAAGCUCCAGAAGAUUGGAGAAGGCAGCAUUACACUUCGGAUGCAAAGGAGCCCCAGAUCUGCCCCCUUCUGAUUUGGCAAGUCCACAGUGGAAGAGAAAGCUAGGGCCGCGAGUGCCGCCGCGGGUCUCCUCUGGCCUCCUGGUGCUGGGUUUCUGGCUUCUGGGGGCAGCCCCGACAGAAGGGUCCGGAAGUAGGGACCCCGAACAUCUCACUCCUCCAUCACACCCACAGUCACAUCCGGAAAACACUGGGGUGAAACCGACAGAGGCUGGCCGUGGGGUGCGACUGACAGGUUCUUAGUGGAAAAGUUCCCGGCAAUUGUUUCCGCAAGGGUCCUGGGUUUCCUGGUCGCCAUGGCAACCCCGGAGUCCCCCCCUCCAACACUCUCGACCACCGGGCGCCCGGAGGACAAUCGCCGGGCACUUUGGCCGCGCGCUCUGAGGCCUGCAAGGCGCUUCCGCCCUUUGCUCUGGGCUUUCCGGAGGCUCUUCUGUGGAUUCAACACGGCAGGGAUUGAAAAAGUCCUCUCUUUUUUUAAAUGGGGGAGAAAAUCUAGGAUUUCGUAGAAUCUCUGCCGGGUCGGUUCGAGGGUCUCCGGCAAAAGCUCCCCAUUUUUGAACUGAGAGCAAUGACUUUCCGCGAGAUGCACGCCCACACAGCGAGUUGGAUGCAUUCAUCCAAGCCCGCAUCCAGAACAUGGAGGGGCUGGGCUUUGAGGAAUCUGGGGUCUCUUAACAUUCACUGGUCACCCCCAUCAGCACCGGAGGGUCCCCACUUCCUUUCCAGGGAACCCUUUCUCCUGCCUGGAAUAAGGUCUCCUAAGAAGGAGGAGAGACGUGGGGCAGCAUUAAUGUUUGCAAGAUCUUGAGAAAAAAAAAAUAAACUAUACUCCUUUUUAAAGGAGAAAAAUA